AUAAACAUAAUUCAGUCGGCUUCUUAUUUCCCUUAGACAACAUUCUUAACACAAUGUUACAGUCGUAUUCUAUUACAUGAGAUUUGUAUAGCUAGAGAGAGUACGAAGAGAUAUAUCUCUAGUUUAUUUUAGCAUAGUGGGGAUACAUCAAACAGGUUGUAUAUAGAUUCCAUUCAAUUGUUCUCUAAGCCAGCGGCUUCGAUGACAUGAGCUUCUGGAGGUUAAAGUACUCGUGCUUGCGCUUGAUGAAAUCGCUAGCCUCGACGUCGAUGUUCACCUCAUUUGCUGCAAUCUUGGCGGGUUCGCGGCUUGCUUUCUUUUCUUCUCGCUCAGCCCAACCGCGAGGGGCGGUGGCAAAGCCGACCCCCGCAUCGCGUGCUACCGUUUCGUAGGUAUAUUUUGCCUUUUCUAUGUAAACCUUCUGAAGAUCCGGGGAGCAAAGCUCUUCGUAGGUGUACUUCAUCGAAUCAUUUGCAGGGUUAUCAUUGGCGGGCGGGAGGCUAUUAUCCUCAAACUUGACAUGCUUUCGUCGGGCGUGGUUGCUUCGGUUGAUUUUGAGAGAAUGCAUCUUCUAAAUAGGCUUCUUUGGGAAGUGCUUCAGGCUUUGUAAGUAUUCAACUUCUCAAUCCCCUUUUAUAGGCCAAAUAAGUUUUUUGGAGAUGAUAAGUUUGCAUCUUUCUUUCGUCAAUGUUCACGAAUCUUUUUCACUUUUCCUUAUUCUGCUUCAGUCUUGAAGGCAUCUUAUUCUUUCAAAAGGCAUGACGAUGUAGCAGCCCUCCUUUUUGAAUAAAUAUCUUCUUGGUAUAGCAUUUAUUCUCAAUUUGAACAGCACUUCAAUUAUAUCCAAUCACAUUCGACGAAUAAGAAACCCUAUCAUUUUUCACGUUCAUUGGA
rnacentral:lncRNA from 1 species